rnacentral:lncRNA from 1 species
AUGAUGAAAGGAACUUCAUCCUUUGGAAAGCAUCACAAUAAGACAUAUAUGCUGUGCCGCCGCUGUAGCUCCAAGGCCUACCACCUUCAGAAGUUGACCUGUGGCAAAUGUGGCUAACCUGUCAAACACAAGAGAAAGUAUAAGUGGAGUGGCAAGGCUAAGAGAUGAAACACUACCGGGACUGGUCUGAUGAGGCAUGUAAGGAUUGUCUAUCGCAGAUUCAGACAUGGAUUUCAUGAAGGAACAACACCUAGACCCAAGAGGGCAGCUGUUGCAGCAUCCAGUUCAUCGUGA